rnacentral:rRNA from 1 species
GACGAACGCUGGCGGCGCGCUUAACACAUGCAAGUCGAGCGAAGCGGCGGACGGUUGAGUAACACGUGAGUAACCUGCCUUAGACAUUGGGAUAGCCUCGGGAAACCGGGAUUAAUACCAAAUGGUCUAAGAUGGACUCGCGUCCCAUUAGGUCGUUGGUGAGGUAACGGCCCACCAAGGCGACGAUGGGUAGCCGGGCUGGGAGGGGGAACGGGCACAUUGGAAGUGAUAAACGGUCCAAACUCUACGGGAGGCAGCAGUGGGGAAUAUUGCACAAUGGAGGGAACUCUGAUGCAGCGAGGCCGCGUGAACGAAGAAGGCUUUCGAGUCGUAAAGUACUUUUAUAUGGGAAGCGGUACCAUAAGAAAAAGCCCCGGCUAACUACGUGCCAGCAGCCGCGGUAAUAC